GAGGAUUAAGGAUUUGAUUGUUGCAGGUUCUCUCAUCUAUUAAGAACUUAGAGGAUUCGAGAUUUGAUUGUUGUAUGUUCUCCCAUCUAUCGAGGAUAAUAUCAUCUCAAUUCUAAUUUUGUACUCAAGAUUUAUUCCAUAAUUACGAGUAUCAGGUUAGUGUAGAAUAUCAAUAUUUUUU